rnacentral:rRNA from 1 species
UACGUAGGUGACAAGCGUUGUCCGGAUUUACUGGGCGUAAAGAGCGCGCAGGCGGUCGUUCAAGUCGAGUGUGAAAGCCCCCCGGCUCAACUGGGGAGGGUCAUUCGAUACUGAUCGACUCGAAGGCAGGAGAGGGAAGUGGAAUUCCCGGUGUAGUGGUGAAAUGCGUAGAUAUCGGGAGGAACACCAGUGGCAGAGGCGACUUCCUGGCCUGUUCUUGACGCUGAGGCGCGAAAGCUAGGGGAGCAAACGGG